CGGUGUUCAACUGGCGUGUCCGCGGGACGUCCUGCCGGUGGGCUUAGCCCGCAAGGGCGGCCCAACUUCAAAUCCCAUCGCGGUGCUCUUCACUGAGUGUCGAGGUGGGCCGGCACGUUUACUUUGAACAAAUUAGAGUGCUUAAAGCAGGCUAAAACUUCGCCUGAAUACUGUGUGCAUGGAAUAAUGGAAUAGGACCUCGGUUCUAUUUUGUUGGUUUUCGGAAUCCCGAGGUAAUGAUUAAUAGGAACGGAUGGGGGCAUUCGUAUUGCGACGUUAGAGGUGAAAUUCUUGGAUCGUCGCAAGACGGACAGAAGCGAAAGCAUUUGCCAAAAACGCUUUCAUUGAUCAAGAACGAAAGUUAGAGGUUCGAAGGCGAUCAGAUACCGCCCUAGUUCUAACCAUAAACGAUGCCAGCUAGCGAUCCGUCGACGUUCCUCCGAUGACUCGACGGGCAGCUUCCGGGAAACCAAAGCUUUUGGGUUCCGGGGGAAGUAUGGUUGCAAAGCUGAAACUUAAAGGAAUUGACGGAAGGGCACCACCAGGAGUGGAGCCUGCGGCUUAAUUUGACUCAACACGGGAAACCUCACCAGGCCCGGACACCGGAAGGAUUGACAGAUUGAGAGCUCUUUCUUGAUUCGGUGGGUGGUGGUGCAUGGCCGUUCUUAGUUGGUGGAGCGAUUUGUCUGGUUAAUUCCGAUAACGAACGAGACUCUAGCCUGCUAACUAGGCGUAUUUUCGACAUCUCAAAGGUCCGUCGUCCCGGCCCUCGGGUCGUGGGCGUGCGCGAUUUUUACUGUCGGCGUACUAUCAAUUCUUCUUAGAGGGACAGGUGGCUUCUAGCCGCACGAGAUUGAGCAAUAACAGGUCUGUGAUG
rnacentral:rRNA from 1 species